UUAAGUUUCGACUGAAUUCCAUUGUGCUUCUAUUUCCAACCAAGCUGAACUUGUGUCUGACACUUGUUAAAAAAUUGGGAAUCAAGAAACUUUCUUUUCCUCUGAUGUCGAAAGCUGCUGAUUCCUUGUCUAAGAUGUGUCCGUUUAAAAAACAAAAAACCAAAGCUAGCUGCUGAUUAAUCAAUGUCUGCUAUGUGCCGUUGUCAUCAUCUCACAGCUGUACUUAUCGUCAGCAGAGGCCCUAGGAAGCUGACCAGCAGAGCAUCAGUACGCAACAGCGGUGACCUUGAUAGCUACAAGUGGAGAUGGAUCUUUGAGCUAUCAGAUGGAAGGCUGUCUCUGCAGACCCACACUGGAUUCUACAUAAAUAAGAAGUAUAAGUGUAACUUCGUUGUGCUAAGUCACUGAGCUUUUCGGAUUUGUUUGUUAUUGCAGCAUAGCUUAACAUUGCUCUGACUAAUGCCAUAUACAAACCUUAAACAUGUGCAAGGGUUUAUUUCUUCAUCUGCCCACACCCAAGAAUUGCUUUCCUAAAAACUUAAAAUGUAUAUAAAUUAUAUGUGUUUAUUAUGGAAAAUUAUGAAAUACAAAUAAACAGAAAAGAAGAAAGUAAAAAUCAUCUAUAAUCCUCUUGGUCAGAGUUAUCUACUGUUAACAUUUUCAUGUCUACACAUCAUGUUUUUUCUAUGUAUAUAGAAAUAUAAAUUUAUGUAUAUAUGCACAUAAACUUAUAUGUGUGUUUACAUAUUAUUGUAGAACCUACUUUUUUUUGAGAGAGGAAGAGAGCGUCUCUCUCUGUCACCCAGGCUGGAGUGUAAUAGAGUGAGCACAGCUCACUGCAGCUUCGACUGUCUGGUCUCAAGCAAUCUUCCCGCCUCAGCCUCUUGAGUAGCUGAGAUAGCUGAGACUACAGGCAUGCACCACCAUACCCGGCUAAUUUUUGUAUUUUUUGUAGAGAUGGGGUCUUGCCAUGUUGCCAAGGCAACUUCUGGGCUCAAGCUGUCCGCCCGCCUCGGCCUCCCAGAGUGCUGGGAUUACAGGCGUGAGCCACUGCGCCUGGCCACAACCUACUUUUUUAUUUGACAAAAUAUUCUGUUAAUUUUCUCAAAGCAAUAAAUACUAUUCUAGAACUCAAUUUUUUUAAUUUUUUUUUCUGAGACAGAGUCUUGCUCUGUCGGCCAGGCUAGAGUGCAGUGGUGCGAUUUCACUGUAACCUCCCCCUCCCGGGUUCAAGCAAUUCUCCUGCCUCAGCCUCCUGAGUAGGUAGGAUUACAGGCUUAUGCCACACAUGCCAGGCUAAUUUUUGUAUUUUUAGUAGAGACAGGGUUUCACCAUGUUGGCCGGGCUGGUCUAGAACUCCUGACCUCAUGAUCCACCCGCCUCAGCCUCCCAACAUGCUGGGAUUACAGGUGUGAGCCACCGCGCCCAGCCUAGAA
rnacentral:lncRNA from 1 species